GAAAAUAAGUCACAAUACAUUCCUAGGGCCUUAGAGAUUCGCGAUUCUUUCCUCUGAGCUCUUUUUAGGCAAUUUACCAGGAGCGCAUUUACCAGAAAUGCUUUCUCCUUGUAAUCUGUCUUCCCAUCUUCAUGUAGAACAUUCUACAGCGGGCCUGGGAAGCUUAUCCUUCAUCAGCUUCUCAAGUCCUGUCUCCCAGUAGUCUGGUCCAGUGGGGCUGGGCUGAUGGUUGCACUUAGCAGCGGCUCCAGGGAAUGCUGUGCAAAUGAUCCAAGGAGCAAACUUUGGGAAACACCAUGCUGCACCUUCUUUCCUGAUCAAGCUGAUAUGCAUUCAUAUUUACUGUCCUGAUCAAGCUGAUAUGCAUUCAUAUUUACUGUCCUGAUCAAGCUGAUAUGUGUUCAUAUUUACUCACUGACAUGGAAUUCACAGCAUCUAGAAGGGAUUAGCCUGAGGAUGACCUUUUCACUAUCGGUGAAGAAAUACUUAGCUGAGUGCUACAGAGCCUUUCUACUCAAGGUGGGACCUAUAGACCAACAGCCUUUUCUCAUCUGGAAGUUCAUCAUGGAUGCUGAAUCUCAGGUCCUACCCCAGACCUUCUGAAUCAGGAUCUGCAUCUUAACAAGACCCUCAGGUGGCACAUGUGCUGAUUAAGGUGUAAGAAGCACAACUGUAAUGGCUGCAACAUGGGUUUGGUGUAAGGCUGGUUUGAGUUUUUUUUUUGUGUCAUAAUUUAUUAGUUGUACAAGCUGGGUUCAGUGGUGUCACCUUUCUGAGUAUCUCUUUUCUCAUCAGUGAAAUGGAAAUAAUAGAAACUGCAAGCACUGAUUUACUCUUUACCACCUUCAUGGAUAUAUUGUCUAGGAGAAUUCCUGACACAAAAUAGUGUUCAAUAAAUGUCAGCUUCUUAGUACUCUUUCUACUUAAUUAAGUAACAGUGUCCAAAAUUUACAUGGGGAAUAUGGAUAUUGCUUAGGAAACCAGAUUAUUAUUUAAACACUGCAGGCAGACAACUUAGGUAUAAAGAAUUUGGAAGCUGAGGCACAGAAAGCAAAAAUAAUUUACUCAGGACCACAAUGCUGCUUAACAGCAGAAGCUAGAUGCCUAUCCAUCAUACCAAAGUGCUUUGAACAUAAGUGUUGUCAAAAUCCAUCUCUCCCAAUGGAUCCUAAAAGAUACGUUUUCAUUUGUUUAGAUGAUGAAGAGGAAAUUCAUUCUUUUAAAAACUCUUUGUCAUUUCUAUUUCCCCCUUUUAUCUUAAGAUGCUCCAGCUGCUUCCCAUAUUAUGUUCCACCACUAUGUUUUCCUUUUAUUUUAACAUGCACCACUUCAAUUUCCGAAAACACAGUGUAAUUUAUCAAUCAAUAAAUAAAUCUGGACAGAAACACAAAGCACAUUUUUCUCCAGGAGCAUUCCCUAUUCACAAGCACAGGGAGAGGAAACUCAGUGGCAUCUUGAGCAAACAUAUGCAUCAAUACACACAGGCUUCAGAAAAGGAAGUCAGAGAUACGAAGAAUGAGAGGGAUUUGAUGCACAGUCACUAGCUUGAAGAUUGGAGGGGCCAUAUGGCAGGUCUGCAGGUGUCCUCCAGGAGUUGAAAGUAUCCUCUUACUGACAGUGGCAUGGAAAUAGUGACCUCAGUCUUACAACCACGGGGAACUGAAUUUUGUCAACAACAAGAAUGGGUUUAUAAGCAGAUUUUUACCCAACCUCCCCGCCAAGACAAGAACUAAGCUCAGAUGACAACUUGAUUUCAACCUAUGAAACCCCAAGCAGAAAACUCAGCCACACUGUGUCAUUCUGACCUAGAGGACUAAGAACAAGUUCACCAUUCAAUUGAAGUAAUUUGUUACAUGGCAAGAGCAGACCAACAUGAAUACCAUCUAUGUGCUGAUGACUUAAAUGUGUAUAUUUAGAAAGGAAGUCUGGGGCAUCUAGUCGUGUGAUGAGAGGAUGCCUGCCUUUGAAACUGAGCACGUCUGUGGGUCUUUGAAUCCUUUUCUCUGAACAGGUCGUAGUUGGGCAGAUGGCACAGCCAGCAUGCCUCCAUGACUUGCCAACCACAUUUCUCAUGGACCCCUUUGUUGGACCUGAAUGUGUUCAAAUAUUCGGGGCUUCUGUAGUCACCCUUUCAU
rnacentral:lncRNA from 1 species